AUUCCAUAUUGUUGAAAUCUCAUCACUGGUGUUUCAGAAUUCUAGGCAGACACUAUCAUCACCAUAUCCAUCAGUCUGCCCCCAUCAGAUUUUGACACCACAUAUAUGUAGCUGUGAAUUCAUUACAAUUUUAUCGGGGGGGACGAUAUAAUAAUGAUACAUAAGACCUAAAGAUCCAAUUUGGUGGUGAGAGAAGCUACUUUCAUUGUUGUCAGCAAACUAAAAUGCUAUUGGACUCCAUGACCAUCAGCACUAUCACACAGUGGUUGGAGCAGCAUAAAGGGACAAUCUUUAAAUGAAGGAAAUGGCUAAUUAAUCCAAUACAAAAUGGUUCAUCUGAAGAAAGAUUAGGCAAUGCAGAUGAAAAUGAAGCAGACACAUACAUAAUUAAAGCAUGAGACAACAACCUUUUUCCUGGAUACACAAAGAUCUGCUGUUUGUUGUGUAUGCUGCAUAUGCAGCAGCAUUCUGCAAGAAAAUAUUAAUGCUUAUAUUCCAUUGGCAGACAUUGCUGCAUCAACUGUGGCAGUUCUACUGUUCCUCAUAAUGCUAGCAAUUCAUGUGUUUCUCAAAA